rnacentral:rRNA from 1 species
GACGAACGCUGGCGGCGUGCUUAACACAUGCCAGUCGAACGGAAAGGCCCUGCUUUUGUGGGUUGCUCGAGUGGCGAACGGGUGAGUAACACGUGAGUAACCUGCCCUUGACUUUGGGAUAACUUCAGGAAACUGGGGCUCAUACCGGAUAUGAGCUCCUGCUGCAUGGUGUGGGUUGGAAAGUUUCGGCGGUUGGGGAUGGACUCGCGGCUUAUCCGCUUGUUGGUGUGGUAGUGGCUUACCAAGGCUUUGACGGGUAGCCGGCCUGAGAGGGUGACCGGGCACAUUGGGACUGAGAUACGGCCCAGACUCCUACGGGAGGCAGCAGGGGGGAAUAUUGCAGAAUGGGCGGAAGCCUGAUGCAGCAACGCCGGGUGCGGGAUGACGGCCUUCGGGUUGUAAACCGCUGUCGCCUGUGACGAAGAGUGAGUGACGGUAAUGGGUAAAGAAGCACCGGCUAACUACGCG